GUAGGGAUGAGGUCAUCGCUAAGAUCGCUCGUCACGUGUGCUGCUGUCUGAUUGGCUGCUGUAUAAGCUGUGGGCGUGGACGAGGAAAUGAGUAGAGGAUGACGAACUGAUAAACCGUUGAGGAUAUGAUCAGACUAUCAUCUGUGUAAUAUGACUAAUCUGUGUCCAUGACCAAUGUGAUCUCCUCUCCAACCUCAUAUACCCAGAAGAGGCCGUGCUGUGGGUGGCUGCCAUGACAGUGUGUUGUCACUGUUUAUAAACAAAAUACCAAACACAGGUCAUGAAAUGUUGCGAUGGUUACGAUCAAGUCAGGAGUUACUGUGUCUUGUGUGUAAUAGUCUUUCCACAUUGUGUGACAUGUUGACCUGAGAUGUGAUUGGUCUCCUGUUAUUUAAAGAUUUAGAUGAGUGUUUUCUGGAUGAUUGAUGGGCAGACUGAUGGGCUUACUGUAUAAACAAUUUUGGCUGUUGGUCUGGAUACAUAGACUUGGACCCCAGUAGACCAGGGCACAGCUGUGCAGAACAGCACCCAUAAUUUUGCUAAUGUGACGCUAUACAACAAUGUGAGCCGUUUUUCGAAGGCUUCUGUGCAUCUAGAAAUUCCUUUAAUUUACACUUACUCCAGUUGCAUCCUUAUCUCCAUGGGAUACGCCCCCUCAGGGUACAGUGCUUCCAUAGCAACUGUCUCCAUGGAGCUUGUUUUUCUCUCCAUUCACUCAAUAUGCCAUUUCUUGUCACGUCAAAGACACCUAGACUCAAUUUAAGCUGUUAAUUAUGUCAGCGUAUAUGACAAACAUAUUUUACUUAAAUUCAGAUAUCAAACUGAGACCAUAUUAUCUUAUAUAUACAAUCUAUAUAUAUAUAUACUUAAUAAACAAUAAAUAAUAAAACAUUUAUACAAUUAAAUAAUGUAGCCCACUGUAAAAGCCCUAAAAAUGGUCUGAUUUCUGGAUGAUAUUCAUUUUGUCACAUUGAUAACUAUCUUUUAAAGGUAUUUUGAUAUGACCAAUGACCUAGUGGCAGGAUUGGGUAGUUUUCAGGUUACUUUGUGGCUCAUCAGUGAUCACUACGUCAUCUCCCUGCACUGCCAGAUCCAGAUCUUGAGCUAAUGUUUCAAGAAAUUCAUACACAAUGACCCUACAAAGCAUUUGCACAAUUAAGUCACACUCCACAUUUUGAAUCUAGUUGAUGUUUAAUUAAAUGUUUUAUUUUUUAAUGAAAAGUAAUGUUUGUGGUAUUAUAAUUAUAAUAAUUAUUAUUAUUAUUAUAUAUUUUUUUACAAAUUAUUAUUUAAUUUCUUUCAGUGUAUUUGGUUGUUUAUUCCCAUCAGCAAUAUCAAAUGGUAGAGAAAUGUGUAUAUUUCAUUAUUUGCGAGGUUGCUUCUCCUCCCAAAUAUCUAUUGUGGCCCUGGUAUAGAUAUUUAAAUUGAUUGAAUAUAGGCCUAUUUAUGUCAUUUAGGAAAAUUUCACACACAAAAUACUAUAUACACCCUUUUCCAGUGAUGUUAUGUCACUUUCUUAAAUGGGCCACUAGAGGACACUGUUGUAUUAGCUGUACAAUUUGAUACUAGCUUUGGUCAGUUGGCUGUAUGUUGUGUUUGGACAGAUGAAAAUCUAAUAUGAGUAGGCUAUAUGGAGGCCUUUGUAAACAGAAUAUGUUCCAAUGAAUUAUUCUCAGGAUUUAAGGAUUUAAGAUUUCUUAAAAAUAAUGUGACUAUUUGUGGAGACUUUUGAGUGCAUGGAGCCUGUGUGAGAGAACUAGUAAACAAGGCCUCCUCGAUCUUUUGUAGGCUGAAUUCUCCAGAGACAUGUCGUGUAAAAAGUUCAUUUCAGAGAUGGGGUAGUCAUACACAUCUUCAAUUCACCAAUUAUUAUUCAGCUAGAUGCUAAAAAAGUAAGGCAUCUCCGUGGCAAUGUCUCAGUUUUGCCUCCUGGAGCUGUAGAACUGUGUAUUUGUGUGUUUUCAUGGGUGUGGGUGAAUAUGUGAACAUGUUUAUGUUUGCAUGUUAAUUUAUAUUUGCUAUAAAAAAAAACAGGUCAUAUCUUACACAAUGGUCAUUUCUACUUAUUUAGGUUGCAUUUUAAAAUCUUGAUUUGUUAGUUGCAUCAGGAUCAAUAUGUAAACCAACAGAAAUAUCACUCUUUUCUUAAUAACUGUUUCCCUCAGUUUCUGUUAAUUAGAGAACCCUUCCAGUACACAGACAUACACACAUUUUAUUUUCUUCAUUUAUUUUCUUCAUAAUUAUUAUAUUUAUUAUCUUUUUUUUUAAAUAGGAUGUGUAACUGAAUUAGCCCAUGUUGUGAUAUACACAUCAGUGUUUAUUAGUGAGGGAAAUGGGCUGCUAAAAGGCAGGACACAAAGUUAAUGUCCGUUAUUCCACUAAAUGUAAUUAUAAGAAUGCAGAUGAAGCAUUUGUGUUGUAAUUUAAAUAA